GGGCGGCGGCUACACAUGCAAGUCGAGCGGUAGAGAGGUGCUUGCACCUCUUGAGAGCGGCGGACGGGUGAGUAAAGCCUAGGAAUCUGCCUGGUAGUGGGGGAUAACGCUCGGAAACGGACGCUAAUACCGCAUACGUCCUACGGGAGAAAGCAGGGGACCUUCGGGCCUUGCGCUAUCAGAUGAGCCUAGGUCGGAUUAGCUAGUUGGUGAGGUAAUGGCUCACCAAGGCGACGAUCCGUAACUGGUCUGAGAGGAUGAUCAGUCACACUGGAACUGAGACACGGUCCAGACUCCUACGGGAGGCAGCAGUGGGGAAUAUUGGACAAUGGGCGAAAGCCUGAUCCAGCCAUGCCGCGUGUGUGAAGAAGGUCUUCGGAUUGUAAAGCACUUUAAGUUGGGAGGAAGGGCAUUAACCUAAUACGUUAGUGUUUUGACGUUACCGACAGAAUAAGCACCGGCUAACUCUGUGCCAGCAGCCGCGGUAAUACAGAGGGUGCAAGCGUUAAUCGGAAUUACUGGGCGUAAAGCGCGCGUAGGUGGUUCGUUAAGUUGGAUGUGAAAUCCCCGGGCUCAACCUGGGAACUGCAUUCAAAACUGUCGAGCUAGAGUAUGGUAGAGGGUGGUGGAAUUUCCUGUGUAGCGGUGAAAUGCGUAGAUAUAGGAAGGAACACCAGUGGCGAAGGCGACCACCUGGACUGAUACUGACACUGAGGUGCGAAAGCGUGGGGAGCAAACAGGAUUAGAUACCCUGGUAGUCCACGCCGUAAACGAUGUCAACUAGCCGUUGGGAGCCUUGAGCUCUUAGUGGCGCAGCUAACGCAU
rnacentral:rRNA from 1 species